ACGCUCGACACCUACAGGAGGCAGCAGUGAGGAAUAUUGGUCAAUGGGCGCUAGCCUGAACCAGCCAAGUAGCGUGAAGGAUGAAGGCUCUAUGGGUCGUAAACUUCUUUUAUAUAAGAAUAAAGUGCAGUAUGUAUACUGUUUUGUAUGUAUUAUAUGAAUAAGGAUCGGCUAACUCCGUGCCAACAGCCGCCGGUAAGUUACUCGAGCGGGCGGUCGGCGAAGGACG
rnacentral:rRNA from 1 species